rnacentral:rRNA from 1 species
CCCUUAGAGUUUGAUCCUGGCUCAGGACGAACGCUGGCGGCGUGCUUAACACAUGCAAGUCGAGCGGAAAGGCCCUUUCGGGGGUACUCGAGCGGCGAACGGGUGAGUAACACGUGAGUAAUCUGCCCUUGGCUUCGGGAUAGCCACCGGAAACGGUGAUUAAUACCGGAUACGACACAUCACUGCAUGGUGCGUGUGUGGAAAGUUUUUUCGGCCAGGGAUGUGCUCGCGGCCUAUCAGCUUGUUGGUGGGGUAAUGGCCUACCAAGGCUUCGACGGGUAGCCGGCCUGAGAGGGUGACCGGCCACACUGGGACUGAGACACGGCCCAGACUCCUACGGGAGGCAGCAGUGGGGAAUAUUGGACAAUGGGCGGAAGCCUGAUCCAGCAACGCCGCGUGAGGGAUGACGGCCUUCGGGUUGUAAACCUCUUUCAGCACAGACGAAGCGCAAGUGACGGUAUGUGCAGAAGAAGGACCGGCCAACUACGUGCCAGCAGCCGCGGUAAUACGUAGGGUCCGAGCGUUGUCCGGAAUUAUUGGGCGUAAAGGGCUCGUAGGCGGUUUGUCGCGUCGGGAGUGAAAACACCGGGCUUAACUCGGUGCUUGCUUUCGAUACGGGCAGACUAGAGGUAUUCAGGGGAGAACGGAAUUCCUGGUGUAGCGGUGAAAUGCGCAGAUAUCAGGAGGAACACCGGUGGCGAAGGCGGUUCUCUGGGAAUAUCCUGACGCUGAGGAGCGAAAGUGUGGGGGAGCGAACAG